rnacentral:rRNA from 1 species
AGAGUUUGAUCCUGGCUCAGAACGAACGCUGGCGGCACGCCUAACACAUGCAAGUCGAGCGCCCAGCAAUGGGAGCGGCGGACGGGUGAGUAACACGUGGGAAUAUGCCUUUCGGUACGGAACAACUCAGGGAAACUUGAGCUAAUGCCGUAUACGCCCUUACGGGGAAAGAUUUAUCGCCGAAAGAUUAGCCCGCGUCUGAUUAGCUAGUUGGUGAGGUAAUGGCUCACCAAGGCUUCGAUCAGUAGCUGGUUUGAGAGAACGACCAGCCACACUGGGACUGAGACACGGCCCAGACUCCUACGGGAGGCAGCAGUGGGGAAUCUUGGACAAUGGGGGAAACCCUGAUCCAGCGAUGCCGCGUGAGUGAUGAAGGCCUUCGGGUUGUAAAACUCUUUCGACGGGGACGAUAAUGACGGUACCCGUAGAAGAAGCUCCGGCUAACUUCGUGCCAGCAGCCGCGGUAAUACGAAGGGGGCUAGCGUUGUUCGGAAUUACUGGGCGUAAAGCGCGCGCAGGCGGCUUCUCAAGUCAGGGGUGAAAGCCCAGAGCUCAACUCUGGAACUGCCCUUGAAACUGUGAAGCUUGAGUACGGGAGAGGUGAGUGGAAUUCCCAGUGUAGAGGUGAAAUUCGUAGAUAUUGGGAAGAACACCGGUGGCGAAGGCGGCUCACUGGCCCGUUUCUGACGCUCAGGCGCGACAGCGUGGGGAUCAAACAGGAUUAGAUACCCCCGUAGUCC